UACGGAGGAUGAAAGCGUUAUCCGGAAUGAUUGGGCGUAAAGCGUCCGCAGGUGGCUAUGUAAGUCUGCUGUUAAAGAGUGAGGCUCAACCUCAUAAAAGCAGUGGAAACUACAUGGCUAGAGUGCGUUCGGGGCAGAGGGAAUUCCUGGUGUAGCGGUGAAAUGCGUAGAGAUCAGGAAGAACGCCGGUGGCGAAAGCGCUCUGCUAGGCCGCAACUGACACUGAGGGACGAAAGCUAGGGGAGCGAAUGGG
rnacentral:rRNA from 1 species